rnacentral:rRNA from 1 species
GGCCUAACACAUGCAAGUCGAGCGGCAGCGCGGUAGCAAUACUGGCGGCGAGCGGCGGACGGGUGAGGAAUACAUGGGAAUCUACCUCGUUGUGGGGGAUAACGUAGGGAAACUUACGCUAAUACCGCAUACGACCGGAAGGUGAAAGCGGCGGACCGCAAGGCGUCGCGCGAUGAGAUGAGCCCAUGUCGGAUUAGCUAGUUGGUGAGGUAAAGGCUCACCAAGGCGACGAUCCGUAGCUGGUCUGAGAGGAUGAUCAGCCACACUGGAACUGAGACACGGUCCAGACUCCUACGGGAGGCAGCAGUGGGGAAUAUUGGACAAUGGGCGCAAGCCUGAUCCAGCCAUGCCGCGUGGGUGAAGAAGGCCUUCGGGUUGUAAAGCCCUUUUGUCCGGAACGAAAAGGUGUCGAUUAAUACUCGGCACUGCUGACGGUACCGGAAGAAUAAGCACCGGCUAACUUCGUGCCAGCAACCGCGGUAAUACGAAGGGUGCAAGCGUUACUCGGAAUCACUGGGCGUAAAGCGUGCGUAGGCGGUUUCUUAAGUCUGUCGUGAAAGCCCUGGGCUCAACCUGGGAAUGGCGAUGGAUACUGGGAGGCUAGAGUGUGAUAGAGGAUGGUGGAAUUCCCGGUGUAGCGGUGAAAUGCGUAUAGAUCGGGAGGAACACCAGUGGCGAAGGCGGCCAUCUGGAUCAACACUGACGCUGAGGCACGAAAGCGUGGGGAGCAAACAGGAUUAGAUACCCUGGUAGUCCACGCCCUAAACGAUGCGAACUGGACGUUGGGAGCAACUUGGCUCUCAGUGUCGAAGCUAACGCGUUAAGUUCGCCGCCUGGGGAGUACGGUCGCAAGACUG